rnacentral:rRNA from 1 species
AGCGAAUCCCAAAAAGUGCGUCGUAGUCCGGAUUGGAGUCUGCAACUCGACUCCAUGAAGUCGGAAUCGCUAGUAAUCGUGAAUCAGAAUGUCACGGUGAAUACGUUCCCGGGCCUUGUACACACCGCCCGUCACACCAUGGGAGUGGGCUGCAAAAGAAGUAGGUAGUCUAACCUUCGGGAGGACGCUUACCACUUUGUGGUUCAUGACUGGGGUGAAGUCGUAACAAGGUAGCCCUAGGGGAACCUGGGGCUGGAUCACCUCCUUAUACGAAGAUA